ACGAACGCUGGCGGCGUGCUUAACACAUGCAGGUCGAACGGAAAGGCCCUGCUUUUGUGGGGUGCUCGAGUGGCGAACGGGUGAGUAACACGUGAGUAACCUGCCCUUGACUUUGGGAUAACUUCAGGAAACUGGGGCUAAUACCGGAUAGGAGCCCCUGCUGCAUGGUGGGGGUUGGAAAGUUUCGGCGGUUGGGGAUGGACUCGCGGCUUAUCAGCCUGUUGGUGGGGUAGUGGCUUACCAAGGCUUUGACGGGUAGCCGGCCUGAGAGGGUGACCGGCCACAUUGGGACUGAGAUACGGCCCAGACUCCUACGGGAGGCAGCAGUGGGGAAUAUUGCACAAUGGGCGGAAGCCUGAUGCAGCAACGCCGCGUGCGGGAUGACGGCCUUCGGGUUGUAAACCGCUUUCGCCUGUGACGAAGCGUGAGUGACGGUAAUGGGUAAAGAAGCACCGGCUAACUACGUG
rnacentral:rRNA from 1 species